UUACAGCCAUAUCAUGUUGAAACACCGAUUCCUGUACUAUUCACCAAAGUUAAGUAACGUUGAGCCUGGUUAGUACCUAGAUGGGUGACUGCUUGGGAAUACCAGGUGAUGUAAG